rnacentral:rRNA from 1 species
UACGAGGGGGGCAAGUGUUGUUCGGAAUUACUGGGCGUAAAGGGCUCGUAGGCGGCCAACUAAGUCCGACGUGAAAUCCCCAGGCUUAACCUGGGAACUGCGUCGGAUACUGGAUGGCUUGAAUUCGGGAGAGGGAUGCAGAAUUCCAGGUGUAGCGGUGAAAUGCGUAGAUAUUGGGAAGAACACCGGUGGCGAAGGCGGCGCUCUGGACCGAGACUGACGCUGAGGCGCGAAAGCGUGGGGAGCAAACAGG